GUCGAGCGAAUGAUAGGGAGCUUGCUCCCAUGAUUUAGCGGCGGACGGGUGAGUAACACGUGGGCAACCUACCUGUAAGACUGGGAUAACUUCGGGAAACCGGAGCUAAUACCGGAUAAUUUCUUUUCUCGCAUGAGAGAAGAUGGAAAGACGGUUUCGGCUGUCACUUACAGAUGGGCCCGCGGCGCAUUAGCUAGUUGGUGAGGUAAUGGCUCACCAAGGCCACGAUGCGUAGCCGACCUGAGAGGGUGAUCGGCCACACUGGGACUGAGACACGGCCCAGACUCCUACGGGAGGCAGCAGUAGGGAAUCUUCCGCAAUGGACGAAAGUCUGACGGAGCAACGCCGCGUGAGCGAAGAAGGCCUUCGGGUCGUAAAGCUCUGUUGUUAGGGAAGA
rnacentral:rRNA from 1 species